CUUGAUUAUGCUGGAGUUGUCGUAUGCUCAUAUUCGAUGAUUUGAUCAAUUUUCCGCGUUGCGUUUUACUCCUUCGACGUGAAAGGAGAAGGGAAAUCGUGAAAUCUUUUCACUGUGCAUGAUUAAUAAUUUCGGACGCGGUUGUCUCUAGGGUUUUCGCAUAUGAUGAUUGAUGUUAUUCGAAUAGUAUGCGGAUUUUGAAUUAUCUUUCUCGGUGCUUGAUUUAUACUUUUGGUACCCGUUUAUGGAUUGCGUAGUAGCUGUUGGCGCAAGUAAAAUGUCUCGGGUUUAUGUUGGGAACCUUGAUGAACGCGUCACUGAAAGGGAUAUUGAAGAUGAAUUUCGAGUUUUCGGUGUAAUCCGAAGUGUUUGGGUUGCCCGAAGACCUCCUGGUUAUGCAUUUGUUGAAUUCGAUGACCGGAGAGAUGCGUUGGAUGCCAUUCAUGAACUAGAUGGGAAGAUAAGGUGGAGAGUUGAACUCUCUCACGACUCCAAAGGUCUUGGUGGUGGCCGUGGUGGACGAUCACGUGGUGGUAGUGAGGAUAUGAGGUGUUAUGAGUGUGGUGAACCUGGACACUUUGCUCGAGAAUGUCGAACUCGUAUCGGCUGGGGAGGGUUGGGCAGCAGUAGACGCCGAAGCCCGAGCCCUCGAUAUCGUAGGAGCCCAAGCUAUGGUAGCAGUAGCUACAGUCCAAGAUGGAGAAGAUCCUCAAGACGCCGCAGCUUGUCACCUCCUCGCCGUGGUCGAUACGUUAGCCAAUCACCUCCUUAUCGACGUGACUCACCUUAUGCCUACAGGAGGUACUGAAGCUGAAUAAAACUUAGGCUCAGGAGAAUGGAUGCGUCUCUCUGUUAUAUAUAUAAAUACUGCAUGAGCUUUGGCUUGUUAGACCCGCUGAACAAUGAAGUGUCUCAGUAAAAGCUGUAGCCUUAUUCAGAGUAGAGUGGUUAUGAGUACAUACUAGAGCUCGGGACCCUGAGGACACUCUACUGCUUGCUUGUACUUGGAGAGGUUAUUUCCCCUGCACUACUUUGCCUUUGUCUUUAAAUCUACCAGCUAUAUGUUAUAUAUGCUUUGUGGCUUGACAUUAAAUUAUGAAUCUGUUGUGCUUUUGAUAUAAUUGGAACAUCUUACAUAAUCUGUGUACUUGUGUUUUCUUCUUUUGUGGUGAGAGGUUCUACUAAGCCGUAGUUGCGUCAGGCUUCUUUUGGGAUCUCCUUCUGCUCCUAAACUGAGAGAAAUGGUUUUUCUGCACCCGUGCUUCUCACUUCUUAAGUCUCUUAGCUGCAUCAUACUACCGCCAAAAUUAUAGGGAAGAUUCACUGGACAUUCUCAACACGCUGUUAGACUGUGGACCUGGGACAACCUUCUGCACUUAUAUUAGAUAGGUUUAGGGUUCUUCACAACCUGAGUUCCGUAUUGAGAAAAGGCUGCUCCAAGCUCGCCACACAUCAUCGUUUCAUCAUCUCCUGCUUCUUGAUUGAGGUGUCAUCUCCCUUGAUUUUCCUUCUCAUAUUGAGUCUACUGGCUCGCCUUAUUGCUGGUGUGACUGUGGUAGAGACUUAAAGAGUUUUCAUGGAUGUGUAGACCGUGGGCCAUGAAUGAUGUUCGGGAUGACAAUGUUUGUUUCUAGUGAUUUCCCUUAGGAAAGGUUGUGGCUACGCUUCUUUUAUUCGUCGAGACAUUCCGAUAUGUUUUUUUUCCUGAUAAAAACGGUUUCAGGAAAAAAGAAAAGGUUAGAUGCUAACCAUUUUUGCGUUCUAGAGUUUCAACUUGGUCUUCCAAGUUUUUCAUUCGAUUUGCAGGCACCCAAAUUUUGGGUUUAGCCAUUCAUGCACUUCGUUAAGGGAUUGGUUAAAAUGUCUCGGCAGAUUUUAUGGUUUCCUUGUGUGCAGUUUUCUUUAAUUUUCUUUGAAACCUUUGAAGCUCCCUGAGCUGGAAAAAUUUACAUA